ACUCCUUCCCUGCCUUUCCUACCUAUCACUCUCGUGCUGAAAGUUGGAGCUCCUUACCCAAAGACUGGGCGGAAAGGGUGACCGCCCUGGACCCCUGCCCGACUUCCCGUUAGGCCAAGCCGCUGUCCUGAAAGGGGAUCGUGUCCAGGCCGGCUUCCUGGAGACACACCUGCGCCUGCACACACCCACCGCGGUCGCGUCACCAGUGCCGCGGCCACGUGGACGAAGACCAAAGUCUGGAGGGAAUUCCCUCAGCCACAAAGCGAUGGGAAAGCGGGACCCGGUGGAGACCAGAGUCUUGCUAUGCUUUCCAGGCUGGUUUUGAACUCCUAGCCUCAAGCGAUUUUCCUGCCUCAGCUUCCCAAAGUGCUGGGAUUACAGGCACAAGCCACUGCACCCGGCCCUGUUGUUGUUAAGAAAAUUACAAGUUAAAUCUUGUACCAGUGAACAAGAUUUAGCUUGUGAACCUUCUUCAGUGUAAUUUUUCUGGAACCACCAUGAUGAAGUAGAGUCAUUGUCUGGGGUAAAUACCUGAGGUUCCUUCUCUCAGCCAGGAAAUCGAGGACAUGGACACACGAGAAGUGGAUUUAAGAGCAGAAGUUUAAUAGGCGAAAGAAAGAGAAAAGAGAAUCUCUCUCCUGCAGAGAGAGCGGGGCGCCUGAGUGGGUCUUCCGGUCCCAUGGUGAAGUACACAGGUUUUAUAGACUGGCUUGAGGAGGUGGUGUCUGAUUUACAUAGGGCCCAAAGAUCGGUUGGACCAGGUGUGAUGUUUACAUAACAGGAGAAGAAGCUGACCACCCCACCCUAAUCUUUUAUUCUGCAAAUGGAUUUUCUACCUUGCCAGUGCCACGUUUUCUGUUCUUUACCAUUCACAAGGUUGACAAAAGGGAAGAUGGAACUGCCAUGCUGAACAUGCCUAGCCCCCAGGUAGCCUUUUCCUAUUGUCACAGCUGCCAGCCAUUCACCCGUGCAAGCUUGCAGCUUGCUUAUCAGUCUGCAGCUCGAUUUUUCAGCCUGCUUUUGUUAGAAAAGGAAGGAUUUGGGGGCUACUUUUCAUUAAAAGGAAAACCUUACCAAGGACUUCCUUACCCUCACUAUCUGCCUAAAUAUUUCUCUUUAACUCCUAUAUCAAUGACGAUUUAAAUUCUCCCUCUGUUCCCUUGUCUCCCAGUAUACAUCUCCCUUACAGCACCUGUAUACUGUGUUCUGAUGGUCUAAAUAUAGUUAUUCUCCUCUACCCCACAUUGUGAUCUUUGAACAUAAGACUGUGCUUUUAUCUCAUUUUCCCAGUGCCUGUCAUAUUGCCAGGCUUAGCAGGUGCUCAAUAAAUUCUGUUUCAUCAAGUGCUUGAAUGAUAGUCAUAUGGAGAUUCUUUCAGUCAGAAUAUACUAUUGGUCUUGAGAAGAUGAUUUAAACAUUUUUUCCUUUGAAUUUGAUUCCCUUCCUGUUACAUGUUAUCUAAGAAAACAUAUCCUACAGAAGUAUUCCAAAACCCGAGAAAGAAAACACACAACAAAACAAAAAGAUUAGAUAGCAGAUACUGAAUGAAAUGCUCAAAAAUGCUCCAGUUCAAUAUUAAAUGAAAAAUAGAAAAGAGAAAGGAAAACUAUAUUAUGAGAUAAAGUGAAGUAGAGAAAUGAGACUUUGGACAUACACUCACAGGCUUUGGAUUAUAAGAGAAAGAAAAACUUACAUAUGGGGAAAGGAUCUUUGCAAUGGAAUUACUUCCCAAAAGGUGAGACAGUAUUCAAACUGAUGAAAAAUGUUAUUUGUCCUUUGAAAUGUUUAUUUUAAAAUAGGUUUUAUAAUAAUGCAUAGGUUUAUGAUCACAUUUUCUUAUAUCAAAUAACAAUACAGUUUGUUAACUUCUGUAGCUAUGUUCUAAUUGCAGAGCUCUAGUUUGAUUUUAGGUUGGGAGGGUGUAUUCAAAAAUAUAUAAGCUGAACUGAGAGGCUUUGCUUGUCUCAAAAAAAGGUCUCAUGGGAGAUGAAAGUAGAGUUGAAAACCUGAAAGGCAAAAGGUUGCAAGUUUACUGCAAGGUUUUGAGACAAGGAUGCUGUGGUACUAUUACAGUAGAUAGCUAAUCAGGUAUGAGCAGGGCAGAAGAGGGCUCCUCCUGCCCCACCAGGAAUGUCAGGCCAACAUCAAGUGAUGGUCAGGUGGUUGUUACACUGUUUCUCUAAAAUAAUAAUUGGUCACAGGUGGCCCCAGGGGAAGGCAGUCUCCCAGUAGAAAAAACCUGAAAGUUGUGAUCCGCAGCUUCCCGAUAAGAUCUCAGGAGUUGGGCGAGUGGGCUCAAGCAUGUGCAUUAGGAGGCAACAUGGCAGACUUUAACUGGUAUAUAUGACCUUCUAGGAACUUUUGACUGGUAAGGAAAAUCUGUUUCACAUUUCUAGAGUUAAGGCUAGCACCUCAGAUAAUUUGUAAUUUGUAAAUGAAUAUGUAUCUUAUUUGUUUUCUCUAUCAUGUUGUAGAUUAGGGAUCGUGAUGUGGAGCUGCACUUCCUGGUUCCAAAUCCUGGCUCUUCCCCUCAUCCCUGGGUAAGUUGAGGGAUGAGAGCAAGAGAAGGUUGAUCCUGACUCAGAUCUCUGCAUGGGGCAUGUCACUGAUGACGGCGGCAUUCCCUGAGAGAGGGAACACUAAGUUUGAAGUUGGGCAUAGUGAGCACUAUUUUGGAUGAGUUAAGUUUAGAAGUGCCUGAAGACAUCCAAGUGGAAGAAGUGGCUGCAUGGACUGAAGAUACAGACUGGGAAACGUUAACACCAUCAAGGAACUGGAGUCCUGGGCACAGAAUAUGCUGCAAAGGGAGAAGAAGGAAGACGUGUGGUAUGGAAUCACCUAUGGAUAAGGUUGAGAACCAUGGGCUAGAUGCUAUGGAGACCAACGUAUCACUUACUAGGCUUUACUUUGUGCCAGGCACUGGAUUCGGCAUUACCCCAUUUAAGCCUCACUACCAUCCUUCAUGUUACUAUUCCACGUUGCCGCUCAGGAGAAACAAAAUUUUUUUAUUAAAUUCAAGUAACCUGAGGUCCCAUAUUUAGUAAGAGGCAGAGGAGUUAGAUGUGUCAAUAGCUAAAUUACAUGGCUGUGUCCUCUAGCUGGCCAGGGACUGACAACAUCAGUAUCACCUGGUGACUCUCCCAGGGGAGAUGUUUUUAAAAAUCUUUUCCAGUAAUUCUGUGCAACAUGGCAAUCUGAAACCAGUCUUUCAGACCUGGAAGUUCUUUAGAGACCACAGGACUCUCUUUGAUAUUUUUUCUUUUGAAUUUUUUUAAAAUACAGAAUCCUUUUUCAUGUUCUCUGUUUAUAAAACAACUGCAUGUCAAUUACAUUAUUUUUUAGAAGAUAGGUACAAGAGCCAGGCGUGGUGGCUCAUGGCUGUAAUCACAACACUUUGGGAGGUCGAGGCAGGUGGAUCAUUUGAGGCUGGAAGUUCGAGACCAGCCUGGCCAACAUGGCAAAACCUGUCUCUACUAAAAAUAUAAAAAAUUAGCCUGGAGUAGUGGUGCAUGUCCCAGCUACUCGGGAGGCUGAGGCAUGAAAAUCGCUUGAACCCGGGAGGUGCAGGUUGCAGUGAGCCAAGAUCGCACCACUGCACUCCAGCCUGGGCAACAGAGCAAGACUGUGUCUUGACAGCAACAAAAAAAGAAGAUAGGUAUAGGAAUUAAAAAGAAAGCAAAUAAUUACUGGUAGCCUGACCACUAAGAGAUAUAUACUGAUAUUUUUUUUGCGGGGGGUGCAUCUCCUUGCAGGCCUUUUUGUAUGUUUAUGUUCAAACACAUUUGUAACAACAAUGAAUAAAAAACGCAUAAUAUUCAAUGACUU
rnacentral:lncRNA from 1 species